rnacentral:lncRNA from 1 species
UGAUUAAUAUGUUAAUCAGUUUGGAUAUAGUGCAAUCGAGUAUGUUCAUAUGAAAAUUUAUAAUAAAUUGAUUAUAUAAACUCGUAAGGGAUUGAAGGAUCAAAUCCAUCUACAAUUUUUUUGUAUUUCAAAUCCGAGCUUCUCAAGCUCCUCAAUGUCCUUGAUCACUGUCAUACAGUGCUCAUGGAUCGAGUGCCCUUC